CCUACGGGUGGCAGCAGUGAGGAAUAUUGGUCAAUGGGCGCGAGCCUGAACCAGCCAAGUAGCGUGAAGGAUGACUGCCCUACGGGUUGUAAACUUCUUUUAUAAAGGAAUAAAGUGAGGGACGUGUGCCUUUUUGUAUGUACUUUAUGAAUAAGGAUCGGCUAACUCCGUGCCAGCAGCCGCGGUAAUACGGAGGAUGCGAGCGUUAUCCGGAUUUAUUGGGUUUAAAGGGUGCGCAGGCGGAAGAUCAAGUCAGCGGUAAAAGUGAGAGGCUCAACCUCUUCGAGCCGUUGAAACUGGUUUUCUGGAGUGAGCGAGAAGUAUGCGGAAUGCGUGGUGUAGCGGUGAAAUGCAUAGAUAUCACGCAGAACUCCGAUUGCGAAGGCAGCAUACCGGCGCUCAACUGACGCUCAUGCACGAAAGUGUGGGUAUCGAACAGGAUUAGAUACCCUGGUAGUC
rnacentral:rRNA from 1 species